AAAGUUCCUGGUAAAAGAGUAUGUUCUCUUCUUUUCCUUCUAACCAUGAAUUGUUGAUUUUCUUAGCAUGUGUGGACUGUUUACUAUGAACAAGUUUUGUGUUGCUCUAUACUAUUUCUAAUUAUCAGUUUUUGAAUGUGUAGGAGGGGAUGAUAAGCUAGAUGGAGAUGCUACUAUGAACAAGUUUUCCAGCAAUUUAUACUAGAGUAUGGGUGAGGACGUGAGACACGCACAAGCCUUGCACAUACCAAUUUCUCUUUUGGUCUUCUAUUUUAACAACUUAUCCUUUCACCUUUCCCGUCACGAUAUACCUUCUCGCGUGGUUUUGGAUUUGCAAGAAACACUUUUGAAAACAAAACAGGAAGUUGCGUUGGAGGAUAAAAUCACAUACUAAGGGCAAACAAAAGAAUACUCCACAAGCCGUCUUCACUUUUUUUUUUUUUUUUUUGAAUUAUACAUGGGUAUUAUGGCUCCACAGAAAUUGUCCAGACUAAUCACGUGUUGCCAUGUGUCGGUCCCUGGCAAUGUCGAAAUACUAAUUCUCCAAUGGCGGGGACUCUAACCCUGGUGGCUUCACCGUAUUGGGCUUUUGCCAUCGAGUUAAUCACCACCAGGCCACAAGCCCUGGUUCGCGUCUUCACUUCUGUUGGAUAUUAUACAGAUUCAAUGAAAGAGUUUGUACCUACACUUGAAACCAGAUCAUGAUCUGCUUAGGCUUGAUAUUUAUUUACUCAAAAUUGAACACUUGGAUACACUUUUGUGGCAGGAGCGAGCUUGGC
rnacentral:lncRNA from 1 species